AGGACGAACGCUGGCGGCGUGCUUAACACAUGCAAGUCGAACGGAAAGGCCCGCUUGCGGGUACUCGAGUGGCGAACGGGUGAGUAACACGUGGGCAACCUGCCCUCAGCUCUGGGAUAACUCCGGGAAACCGGUGCUAAUACUGGAUAUCGACUUCUGCCUCGCAUGGGGUGUUGUUGAAGUUUUCGGCUGGGGAUGGGCCCGCGGCCUAUCAGCUUGUUGGUGGGGUGAUGGCCUACCAAGGCGACGACGGGUA
rnacentral:rRNA from 1 species